rnacentral:rRNA from 1 species
GCCUACGGGGGGCAGCAGUGGGGAAUAUUGCGCAAUGGGGGAAACCCUGACGCAGCAACGCCGCGUGAGCGAUGAAGGCCUUCGGGUCGUAAAGCUCUGUCUUUUGGGACGAUAAUGACGGUACCAAAGGAGGAAGCCACGGCUAACUACGUGCCAGCAGCCGCGGUAAUACGUAGGUGGCGAGCGUUGUCCGGAAUUACUGGGCGUAAAGGGUGCGUAGGCGGAAGCUUAAGUCAGAUGUGAAAUCCCAAGGCUCAACCUUGGAGUGGCAUUUGAAACUGGGUUUCUUGAGUGCAGGAGAGGAAAGCGGAAUUCCUAGUGUAGCGGUGAAAUGCGUAGAUAUUAGGAAGAACACCAGUGGCGAAGGCGGCUUUCUGGACUGUAACUGACGCUGAGGCACGAAAGCGUGGGGAGCAAACAGGAUUAGAUACCCCGGUAGUCCG